ACGAACGCUGGCGGCAGGCCUAACACAUGCAAGUCGAGCGCUACCUUCGGGUGGAGCGGCGGACGGGUGAGUAACAUGUAGGUAUCUGCCCUUUGGCCUGGAAUAACACGAGGAAACUUGUGCUAAUACCGGAUAAGUCUUUACGGAGAAAGCUUUAUGCACCAUUGGAUGAGCCCGCACUUGAUUAGUUUGUUGGUAGGGUAAUGGCCUACCAAGACUAUGAUCAAUAGCUGAUUUGAGAGGAUGAUCAGCCACAUUGGGACUGAGACACGGCCCAAACUCCUACGGGAGGCAGCAGUGGGGAAUCUUGC
rnacentral:rRNA from 1 species